CUGAACACGUUCCUCCUCAGUCUGGCUUUGCUUUACUUUUUGACACAGUGUCUCUCACUGAACAAGUAGUUCGUCCAUGUGGUGAGACUCUGGCCACUGAGCUCCAAGGAUCCCCUCUUUCCUUCUUCCCACACCACCAUGGCUGGCUUUUAUUUUAGCUAAUCUGAACUCGUCUGGAUAUUUGCACUGCAAGAUCUUGAUCAGCUGAGCCAUCUUCCCAAACACCUGAGUGCGUUAAACAUCCGGGUUCUGAAGUUUUAUUCCACACCCACUCAAACAGGACCGGGGACCGUGUUCUCUCAACAAGCUACGCUUCCUAUGCCAAGGACGGGAACUGCCCCACCUGAGGCAGUGGUAAGGCAGUGAAGAUGGAGCCUUUCUGAUCAGUGCCUUGUUCAGCCAUCAUCAGAGAAACUUCCUCCAGCAGCAGAUGGGAACAAAUACAGACCAACAGGCAGACACUACACAGAGAUCGGGAGACCUUGGAGCACACAGUGGUAAAUGGGAUGUCCCCAUCAAAUCUCUCUUUCUCUUAGUCCCAUGUUUAAGCCUGCAUCAUUGACUUAAUAUUUUCAUUAAAUUACAAUUAUGUUCACAAAACAAACAAACAAGAUUCUUCAUCAAGCUACCUAUUCCUUGAUUUUAUGACUAGCUUCACCUACUUAUUUCUCACCCCAAAGGCUCUAAUUUUGAUGUUUAAAUUUUAUAUGUCAAUUUGACUGGACCAGAGUACCCAGAUGUCCAGCUAAAUGAUUUUAGCACUAUGUCUUUAAGGAUGUUCCUGGACGACAUUAACAUUUGUAUUGUAGAUGAGUAUGAGAUUACUUUCCCUAUGUUGGGACCUCAUCCACUUUGACGAUGACCUGAAUAGAACAAAAGGGAGAAUUCUGUCCCUGCCUGACUGUCUUCUCACUUGCCAUCUCUUUCCUUCAGACUUGGGUUUAGACUAGAACUUUUGCUACAGGAAUCUUCCUGGAAUAGCACUCCAGCAUCAAUGAAAAUAGAAGAAAGGAAAUGCGUUCACCAUGGACCGAAGCCAGGAUAGUUCCUGAAAGGCCUUGGUCCUGGGUCCAGGUUGCAUUCUCAUUUUAUACUCUAAAACCACAUGGUGGGGUGGACAAGCAAGUGAGCUUUCACAGAAAUGCACACAGCCUUUUGUUUUGAAAGGUAGAUAUUACAUUUGACAGGCAGAAGUGUUUGUGGUCAGGUUGCUAAGGGCAACAGCUCUCUGUUUCAGCUAUUUCUCCAGGUCUUUUUGUUCCAGGUAUCAGGUGAAUUCUUGCUUGGAAAUGAACAGUAUGAGCAGCACUUCAGUCUUUGUGUUUACUGUUCAUGUUCCUACAAGAAUGGGAAAUCAAUGGGAACAGUAACCGUGACAGUCCUGAUCACCACUGUCUAGAGCAGUGCCUGGUAAGAAGGACACAGCCCCUUUCACUCCUGGCGGCUGAUCCUGAAGUUCCUGAGCUGCAGUCUGAAAUAAAAAUGGAAUUGUCCAUGCAUCUAUGAAGUGGGCCAGUAGGGAAACAGUUGAGUAAUAAGAAGGCUGACAAAAUUCUCAAGAAAGAAAUAACUUCUAUCACCUGAAGAUGAUUACCAAAAGUAUAAGAACAGAGAAGAUUCUUCAAGAUCCUACAUAAAACUGUUAUAAUUGCUUGAGAUUGUGAGGUACAGAUGCGGUACACAAUGUCUGUACCCCACAAGGUGGAAUGAAAAAAUAAACUCUGCAAGUUGUCCACUGUCUCUACACAUGGAUACACACAAACACACACAUGCACAAGUAAAUACAUAAAGAAAUGUAAGAAAAUCAAAUUAUAUGAACUAGACAUAUGUAAUAGUGCAUUAAAAUUAAUAAACAAUGAA